rnacentral:lncRNA from 1 species
AUUGGUAUUUCAUUCGAUUCUAAAGCCACAAUGCUUGCUGUUUGUCAAGUGCAAACUUAACACAAACGGAGUCGCAACGAUUGGUCUUCAUUUUAGGUUCUAUGAUGCAUUGCGCGAUUGGUCUUCUUUUUAGGCAUCGGAAGGGAAGGCAGUUUUCAGGUUUGGCUCACAGCGGCGAUGAAGAUGAGGUUCCAGUGAUGACCAAACUUGCUUGGUACGCAACGAGAGAUGGAGGUUGCUCGGUGGUUUGUCGUUAUCUGGUGUUUUCCUUUGGCGAAGGAUUUCACAGGGGCUCGCGUUUGGCUUGAUUUUUUUUUAAAAAAAUUGAUUUGGAUUUGAAUCUGGAUCUAUUUCUUGAAUCUGAUAUCGUGAAUCUGGAUCUGUUUCUUGAAUCUGAUGGGUUUUUUUUUUUUUUUUAUCGAUUUCUCAGAUCUAAAAUAAAUUCAACAUUAUCUUCAGAACUUAAUUUGUAUUGCAGUAAAAAAAUAAAUAAAU